rnacentral:rRNA from 1 species
AUGCAUGGCUUCAAUAUAGCAAUGUUGUCGAGGCAAAUUUGGAGGCUCAUUCAACACCCGGAAUCCCUUUGUGCAAAGGUGCUGCAAGCUCGUUACUACCCGAGUGGCCAAAUUCUAGAGGCUGUUCCUAGGGAGGGAAUCUCUUACUCCUGGCGUAGCUUACUCCAUGGACUACACCUUUUC